CGUGCGAGGGGCAGAAAAGGCCUUGGCUCUGGGUAACAUGAAUCAGUGAAAAGCAUGUUACAGAGCAGCAUAGACGCUUCCAUGAAAACAUCGUGCGAGUUAGUGGCUGAAGGAGCCAGAAGUAAUAUUUAAACUUUCUCCUGGAGUGCUUGGAGACAGGCAUGGGGAGUAAAAUGACUCUGGACAUUUCACAGUAAACCAA